CCUACGGGAGGCAGCAGUGAGGAAUAUUGGUCAAUGGGCGUAAGCCUGAACCAGCCAAGCCGCGUGAGGGAUGAAGGUUCUAUGGAUCGUAAACCUCUUUUAUAAGGGAAUAAAGUGUGGGACGUGUCCCGUGUUGUAUGUACCUUAUGAAUAAGGAUCGGCUAACUCCGUGCCAGCAGCCGCGGUAAUACGGAGGAUCCGAGCGUUAUCCGGAUUUAUUGGGUUUAAAGGGUGCGUAGGCGGUCUUUUAAGUCAGCGGUGAAAGUCAGGGGCUAAACCCUAGCAUUGCCGUUGAAACUGGGAGGCUUGAGUGUGAUGGAGGGAGGCGGAAUGCGAGGUGUAGCGGUGAAAUGCGUAGAUAUCACGAAGAACCCCGAUUGCGAAGGCAGCCUGCCGGGCCAUGACUGACGCUGAGGCACGAAAGCGUGGGGAUCAAACAGGAUUAGAUACCCGUGUAGUC
rnacentral:rRNA from 1 species